ACGGAAGGCAGCGGUGGGGAAUAUUGGACAAUGGGGGAAACCCUGAUCCAGCGACGCCGCGUGAGUGAAGAAGUAUUUCGGUAUGUAAAGCUCUAUCAGCAAGGAAGAAAAUGACGGUACUUGACUAAGAAGCUCCGGCUAAAUACGUGCCAGCAGCCGCGGUAAUACGUAUGGAGCAAGCGUUAUCCGGAUUUACUGGGUGUAAAGGGAGCGUAGACGGCAAAGCAAGUCUGAAGUGAAAUCCCGGGGCUCAACCCCGGAACUGCUUUGGAAACUGUUUAGCUAGAGUGCAGGAGAGGUAAGCGGAAUUCCUAGUGUAGCGGUGAAAUGCGUAGAUAUUAGGAGGAACACCAGUGGCGAAGGCGGCUUACUGGACUGUAACUGACGUUGAGGCUCGAAAGCGUGGGGAGCAAGCAGGAUUAGAUACCCUGGUA
rnacentral:rRNA from 1 species